UACAGAGGGUGCAAACGUUGCUCGGAAUCAUUGGGCGUAAAGCGCACGUAGGAGGCCUAGCAAGUAGGGAGUGAAAGCCCUCGGCUUAACCGAGGAAGUGCUUUCUAAACUACUAGGCUUGAAUACUGGAGAGGGUCGCGGAAUUCCCGGUGUAGAGGUGAAAUUCGUAGAUAUCGGGAGGAACACCAGUGGCGAAGGCGGCUCACUGGCCCGGUACUGACGCUGAGGUGCGAAAGCGUGGGGAGCAAACAGG
rnacentral:rRNA from 1 species